rnacentral:misc_RNA from 1 species
CCGCACGCAGCUUGCCCGGUGCAGUUGACUUUUUGGUUUCUUUAAAUUUAAAAUAAUUUGAGUGCUCUAUUUUAUUGCAUUGAAGGGUCUAAUUUAAGAAAAAAGUUGUACGCAUUCAGUAUUUACUUGUUUUUACAAUCCAAGUGCUGUGAAAUGAGUUCCGACAGGCGGUCACAAACGAAUCCUUUUGUUUAUUUGGACAUCUCUAUUGAUGGAGUAUCAGCUGGACGAAUUGUGAUCGAGCUGAGGAGCGACGUAGUCCCGAAAACCGCAGAGAACUUCCGGGCGCUUUGUACGGGCGAGAAGGGCAUUGGAGUUUACGGGAAACCUUUACAUUACAAAGGAGUCAGAUUCCAUAAAGCGGUGAAUCAGUUCAUGGUGCAGGGUGGAGACAUAGUCAACGGCGACGGCAGCUGCGGCGAGAGCAUAUACGGCCCGAAAUUCGAAGACGAGAAUUUUACUCUCACGGCGAAAUCCGGAGUACUGGCGAUGGCGAACGAAGGUCGACCGGACACAAACAGUUCGCAGUUCUGUAUAACGACGAUACCGUGUCCCCACAUAAACGGCACUAACGUUAUAUUCGGGGAGGUGGUCGCCGGAUUCGAACUGGUCGACGAGAUGCAGAGAUACGGCGAAGGGGACGACGGGAGGCCCGGGGCGGAAUGCGUGAUCGAAGACUGCGGCGAAAUAACAGAGCAGAACUGGGACGUGUGCUGCAGGGAUGGCACCUCCGACAAAAUACCCGAAUUCCCGACGGACUGGAGGAAUAUCGGAGCCGUUUCGUUAGACGAUUUAAUAUCGUGCAUAAGGGACGUCAAGGCAGCCGGCAAUGGAAUGUUCAGCGAGCGUCGGUACAAAGCCGCGAUCAGAAAGUACCGCAAGUGCCUCAGAUACGUCGACUACGCUUUGAGUAUAGUACAAGGAAUGCACGAGAAAGAGACAGAACAUAUAAUAGAUUUAACAUCAACGUUUAUACUGCAGUGUAAUUUGAAUCUGGCCGCGUGUUACUCGAGAACCGAAGACUACAGAGCGUGUAUCGAGUGCUGUACGCAGGUGCUGGACAGAAGCCCGCGUAACGAGAAGGCCCUGUACCGGCGAGGCCAAGCGAAUUUCGCCCUUAAGAACUACGAGGCCGCGCUGUCCGAUCUGAGGCGGGCCGAGCGCGCGUCGCCGCACAACCGCGCCGUGCUCGCGCUGCUGGACGAGGUGCGCCGCUGCAGCCGCCGCUACAACGAGCUGCAGAAACAGAGGCUCUCAAAGUUUUUUCGUGAGCAAAAAGAGCGCGCCGCCGCCGCCAACAACUGAGCUGAGGCUGCGGGUGCUAGUGCGCAUCCAGUGACCCCCCAACCCCCCGCACCUAACGGGGGCGCGGUCGUGUAUCUCACUCUAUUCGAUUGCAAACGAACGUGCAAUAUCCUGAUCGUCGCUCACUUGGAUUCGGGAAAAGUGUUAUUUUUAUUCAAAAUUGCCACGCAAAAAUUACUGGGUUGGCCUAGUGGAAAGUUCACGACGCGUGACGUCAUUAGGGGCUAAUAUAAGUGAAUACAUAUAUAUAUUAUAACGGAACUAUUAGCCGUAUAUGACAACGUGCAUUAUGAUUCGUGUUUCAUUUGACAUAAAGAAUGUUUGACGAAUACAUAUAAAAAUAGGAUAUGUUACGCAGACUACACAUACUGUGGGAUAGAUGCAAGAAGUGAGUGAAUAAUCUUUUUGAGGUUUGAUUCAGUGAACUCUGAUUUAUAUAUUGUUUUCAAUGAUACUAUAAUGUUUGUUGUUAGCUUUUUAUUAAUGUUAUUUUUUUACGUUUAUAGACAGGCGACCUUUGGAUUUGACGAGGGGUCACCGUCAAUCCUGGACAACAAAAAUGUCAAGGGCCAAACUGAGGUCCACCGCUUAAGACUUCAAACCGCAUUUAAGUCUUUAAAGAAAACAAAUCUAAUAUAAAAUGAUAAUGGCGGUAGUAGUCGAAAAUAAUUUUGGUCGCGGUAAAUAGCUAAUUUGAAUUUGUGGGUAGAUCGUAGCGCCUCCUAAAAGUUUUGCAGGAUAAAAAACAUACCAAUUUACAAAUGUUUUAUAUUUAUAACACAGAGCAAUUGAAAAACAUUAGACGCGUGAGAAUGUAAUUAUAUUAGAGGCUCAAUAUUGCGGGUUUCGUUAAAUGUAAAAUGAUUAAGGAUGGUAAGUGUUUAAGCUCGUCUUGGCAAAUUAAUGUUUAUAUUCUUCCUUAUAUUAAUUAAUUAACUUUGUAUGUUACUGUUGACUUUUCGAAAACCGUAUCUUAUUACUCGCAUUUAUUACUACAUACAAAAAAUUACAAAAUUGUUUUUUUUUUUUAAUUAAUAUUUAUAUUUUGUGCUUACUAAGGCCAAUCUGGAUCUCAUGGCCAUAGUAUUUUGUACUGCCAAUUAUUAGGUGAUUAAAGUUUUUUUUUGGUUUUUUUUUUUAGAAAAUAACAAUCUUUGGCAAUUUUGGCAAGGUACUCAAAUUAUAGUUUAGGUUCUAUAGCUAGAUUGGAAUAAAAAAAUAUUUGGAUGAUGUUAUGCUAUAGGGCAAAAUUAAGAAAAUUAGUAAAUAUGCUACUGAACUUGAAAAUGUCUUAAAAUAGUGUAUUAGGUUUUAUAUAAUUUUUAAUCCCUAAAAAGGAUGAAUCGAUUAGAUGAUAUAUAUUGUGAUCUUCAAAUUAGAUGAAUUAUUUUGUUUUGAUUUAUAAGACUUUGAAAUCACAUUUAUAUUUAUAUUGUACAUUAAAUUUGAAGGAAGCUUUGAUUACGGUUCUCAGUUGAAACUUGGAUUUUUUUUUUAAGUUUUUUAAUGGCCACAUUAAAAAGUUGUUUUGUAUGCAAGCAAUGUGCCUAUUUUAAAAUUAAUUUAGCAAUUACUAGAUCUUCGUGUAAAGCCAUUUAAUGGAUAGGUUAAUAAUCAAUUCACGAAUUUUAAUGGCCAGUAACGAUCGCAAUAGUAAUUAGUGUGCUUUGACGACUGGAUCUACUAAUGAUGUGGUUGUACGAUAAGGAACCAAUUUACAAACUAAUUAUGAACCUUUUAUGUGAAUCAAAAUUGUCCGUUAUAAAUGCAAACGCGUAAUUUCUGUUGGCGUACCAGGUUUGAUCAUAAAAAUGAUCGAACUUAUACAAUCGAAUAUUUUAUUAAAUGGGUCUAUCUGUUUAACUCCGACCUAGUUAGCUGAGUAGUGUAACGAAUUUGGCUGUUAUUAAAUAAAUUUGUAGUAUAUAAGAAAAUUAUCACUGCCUUUUCGAAAAGUAUUUUAGUAUUGUGUUCAUGGAUUAUGAAUUGUUUUAAAAUUUAUAUCUUUUUUAUUGUAAAUUAUAUUAAUGUUUCGGUGAACAUGACGGUAACAGUAAGGGUGAUGUUUGUUUAAUGGCUCACGACCCCAGGCCAGGUAACUGUGGAUGGAGAUUGUUAAUGUGGUCGCCUACUGAGUUUCUCGCCGGAUCAUCUCAGGGGGUCGCGUUUCCGAUCCGGUGGUAGAUUCUACCAAGCACUGCUCUUGCUAGGGCCAGUGUUAGCAAA